UGGCGAGAUGAUGACGCAGCGCAGUUCAAGUGGUUCGACCUUGAGCCCUCGUUCGAUGUUUGUGCGUCGUUGGACAUAACAGGAAUUUCAUGUCGGGAGGGUGCUGAAGCCUUUCCCAGCUGCAUUUGGGCGGGAGGCGGGGUACACCCUGGACAAGUCUCCACCUCAUCACAGGGCCAACACAGAUACACAGCCCCCGAUAUACUAAUUGCUUGUAUUCCGUCACGUGACUUCUUCCUACUACAGUUGCAAAAGAUGUUCAGGACAAAAGGCGGCAUUGCGGGACCCAAAAAGGGACCUUGUUGGAUUCACUAAAUCAGGCUUGCAGGGAGAUGGAGCCUAUCCCAGCUGACUUCAGGCAAAAGGCAAGGUCCACCCUGGACUGGCAACCUUCACAGGACACACAGACAAGAACAUGUAGAAAGUAGACCAGAUGUCAUCUGCUGCUUGAUAAAGUACCUUGGAGAAGCAACUACUGAAUGAAAGAACGCUUACCAGGAUGUCAUCACUAAAUUGCUCCAAGAAGAGUAUUCUGCAUUCAGGGGCAGGACAUCAGCCAUUAGCCUUCACUCUGCUACUUGGAGACAUCACAAUAGUGUUGGUAUUUUCUUAUCCUUGUGUCAGGAUGGCAUUGGUGCCUUUCUGACAUCACAUGUGAGACUGUGUGCUGGCUGUGGUUAGAGAAGACCAUCAAGUGUCCAUCUCCUUGUGUGAGUGGACACAGUAGGUAGACGUUCUCCAUGCUGAGCCUCAUUAAGCUGGACAUACACUUAACACUUACAUUUACUCCAUUCAUGAAUGUGUUAGUUUUUUUCAUUGUUAUUUUUCUCAACAACUUUGGAGGUUUCGGCUUAAGUGAAAUAUCAACAUCAUACGGCGGAAGAAAGACUCCAUAUUUGUAUGAUGGAGUGAUAUUUACUUCCACGGCUGCUGCUUAAUACGACGUCCAUGCUCAAGGCUGGAUGUACUUUUGAACUUAGGACAAAAACAAGGGUGACGUCAAAUUAGAGCUGCGGUAUUUACCGGUAUUUUAGAAAGCCAUAUGUAUUUGGGACAGUAUCGCUAUAGCGGUAUAUAGUAUAUUUUCACGCUACGUUACAGCGUGAAAACAGUAAUACCCUGAAACACAACUAACAUUAACACGCUAACCAUUAGCAAGUGUCACAUACCAAAUUAUAUGACUUUGGGGUAAGUGGUUGCAAAAUUACCUCAAAAAGUUAACAUGUUAUGUUAGCAUACUAGCAUGCUAACAGUUAGCAUGUGUCACAUUCCAAGUUAUAUGACUAAGGUGAAAGGCUGCGGAAUUAGAGAAAAAAAAAGUGUAAAACUAGCAGAAAAAGUUAGCAUGCAACAUUAUAAAGCUAGUACAUGACGGGGAAAGAAGAAAUACCAAAAUGCAUUAUUUGUUGGCGUAGACAUAGAAAGUAGCAAAAAAGCUAGCAUAAAACGUUAGUGUACGGGAGCGUGUAAAGGACUGUACGUUACCUUAGGGGAUGCUCGAAUUAUUCACUAUUACCAAAUAAAUCUAGUCUAAGAGAGAGUGAGAGGAGACGACUUAUAUAGUUUAACAAUUUACUAUAUACCACAUAAACAUACAAUAACCAGACAAUAAUAAACACACAUUAAUUACACUCAUACACUCAUCCCCACUCACACACUGCCUCCCCAAUAGAACCUCCCGCUCUAAACCAAUCACACAACACACACACAGUCCAACCUGGGCCCCUAGGCUGGGCCAGAAGAUUGUUCGUUGUGGUCCUGCUGAAU